GCGUCCCAUUAGCUAGUUGGAGAGGUAACGGCUCACCAAGGCGAUGAUGGGUAGCCGGCCUGAGAGGGUGAUC
rnacentral:rRNA from 1 species